GUCAAGUGACACUCAAGCUGUCAGGAGGAAGGAAGCCUAACCCUCUAGCUAGCACUGCCCUGAGGGAGCGGGUAGGGCAGGCAGGUGGGCCAUCCACCACCCUCUCCUUCCCACCUCUCUGGCUCCUAUUUCGGGGUUGGGUUGGAGUCUCUGUGUCCCACCCCAGCUUACCCCAGGACGUGAAGCUCUGGCAUCCAGGUCUCCAGCAACACCCUGGACACCCAGACAAGGGGAGAAUAGGCUGCAUCUCCAAUGCUUCCUGGACUGGACCCUCCCGGAGAUGCUGAAUCUGAAUCUAAAUGUUUAAAGGAAACUUGCCCAAGGUCAUAAGGCUAAUUAAUGGAAGAACCAGGAUUCAAACCAAGAGAUCUUGUGUAGGGGUGCGGGCCCUGACUCUAUGCUCCUGCCCUGCCAAGGACUCCAGGGAUUCCUGUUCCUGGUUUUGGUCUCAUGGAUCCUACUGCCACAAGGGCUUUUGGAAUUGCCCUACUGUCUCUAGACUCUAAUCUCAGCCUCAGAAAAAUCCCCUCAUCUUUUCUCCCAGAAGGCUUCCGUUAAGCCUUCUUGCAAAUAAAGUUCUUGAUGGCCUUUCUCAAUAUCCCAGAUUUCCUAAAGAGGUGCACAAAUGAGUAGUACAUACACACCAAGACCCAACAGUUGUGGCACUCAGGGGAAAAUGAGUUUACCAAACUUUUAGCUAAGUAUGACAGAGAGGGGUUGCUGAUGGGAGGGAGACAGUAGAGCCUGCAGGCCAAAUCCUCUCAUGGCAUGGCACAGUGCCCACGACAAUUGUGAAAGUGCCCCCACCAGUGGGCCAGGUGCUCCACAGCUCUUCAGAGACGUCUGUGGACGUGCUGAAUAAAGGGCUAAGAAUUAAUUUGUUUGUUAUGGUCAUUGCUGUUAGAAUUGAAUUGCAUAAGACUUUAAAAAGAGGCACCAGAUGUUUUAGGCCUUAGGGCCCCCAAAUGUCCCUGGUAUACAGGCUGAGUGGCCGUGAGGAAAGGCCAGAGUCACUGCAGAGCAUGGGCUCUUGAGUCAAACUACCUGGGCUCAGAUCCUGGCUCUGUGACUUUGGGUUAAGUUAACCUCUCGUGCCUCAGUAUCUUCAUCUAUAAAAUGGAAUAAUAAUGGUUUCCAUAGUGUCUCUCCAGUAGUAGUCAGCCCAGGGCCUGAUUGCUCCAGCUGGUUGGGAAUAAUCGCUGUUGCAUGUUCCCACCUGUGGAUGGAAAGAAGCAGGAGAUGAGAACAGGCCCCUCUCCCCAAAGCUGCUCUUGGACAGCGAAGUAAGAACAGAUGCAGUCUCCUUUGCUGACAAAGGAAGAGUCCAGGAUAAGGGUAGCCAGAGAGGAGAGAAGCGAGAGGAAGGGAAAGGAAGACACACACUCUGGGUUGGGUGGUUGGAAGCAAGCAGAGACAAGUGUAGUAAUGAGGUAGAGAUGGGGAACCUCUGAGACCUCCACAGAGGCCCUAAGAGCGUUUCCCCACCAUUCCCGGCUUUAAUAGCUCCAAGUGUAGAGCUGAAUUCUCUUUUUUUUAAAUUUUAUUUUAUUAUAUUUUUAUUUUUGGCUGCGUUGGGUCUUUGUUGCUGAAUGUGGGCUUUCUCUAGUUGCGGCGAGCAGGCACUGCUCUUUGUUGCAGUGCGUGGGCUUAUUGCAGUGGCUUCUCUUGUUGCGGAGCACGGGCUCUAGGUGCGCAGGCUUCAGUAGUUGUGGCACACGGGCUCAGUAAGUAGUUGUGGCGCGAGGGCUCAGUAGUUGUGGCCCGUGGGCUCUAGAGUGCAGGCUCAGUAGUUGUGGUGCACGGGCUUAGUUGCUCCGCGGCAUGUGGGAUCUUCCUAGACCAGGGCUCAAACCCAUGUCCCCUGCGUUGGCAACUGCACCACCAGGGAAGUCCCUGGAGCUGAGUUCUCACCCUUUAUUUCAAGUACCACUCCCCAUCUCAAUGUACCAAAAAGGGCAACAGAAUAAAAGGGGAAACAGCCUCAGAGUUUUGGUGUGACCAGUAACUCAGACUCAAAGUAAUCCUCUCAGUCAUCACUACCAACAAUUUCACCCUGUGACCCUAAUAAGAGGAAAAGCUGGUGUUCAUGGAUGAGCGGAAUGCAGCUUCAGUGAGACUUACACAGAUGGCAACCCAUCCCCAUCUCAGGCCUCAUGGAAGAUACCCACUCUUUACCACCUAGAUGCCCUGAUGGCAGGGUUAAUAAUUUCCAUUACUAAUAGCCUGCAACACCUAAUAUGUGCUCAACAUACACUAUCUCAUUAAAUAUUUACACACCUGUGGUGUGUAUAUCAUUCACCUCCAUUUAAUAUUCUCUCCAUUUCAGAGAUGAUGAAACUGAGGCUCAGAGAGAUUGAAUAAUUUGCCCAAGGUCCCUGGCCAAGCAGGAAUACAAGCUUAGGUUGGUCUACGUGACUCCAAAGCCUAUGUAUAACCACAUGUAUAAGAUAUUCCACCACAGAUUCAAGAAUAGUGAAGCACAGUUUUCUCUCUUUUGCUUCCUCCUUUCUUCCUGCUAACCCACCAGGAAGUUUCACUGCGUAGGAUUCUUAUGAAAAGGCACGUUUAAGGCCAGCUGACCUCCCCUAAAUAUGCUGAUCACAUGCCCUUAAGGCUAAGCCACAGGCCGAGAGACAGAAAGAGAUGGGAAUGCAAGCCCCUCUCACAGAAGAGCAGAGAGAGUUCAGGUUAUUCCCUGUGGGAAAGAGGAUUACGCUCAAUGCUUCAUAUCCCUUACACAGUCCUCACACUAAAUGUAACAGGUAGGCUUUCUCAGAUAAGAAAUAUGAGGCUGAAUAAGUUUAACAGGGCACAGCUAUACCAGGGUGAGUUUGGGAUUCAAUUCGAAGUCUGACCCCAAGGCCCAUACUCUUUUCCUGUACAGAGUUACCAGGAGUAAUUUUGUUUGGAGGCUUAAUGAAACCCCUACACUCCCAUAGAACAUUCUUGCUUAGUUCUUAGCAGUUACCAAGGAGUCUGGAGGCAAACUUCUGGUGCCUAGACCUCUAUCCCUACUGGUGAAGUGGGGGUGAGACAGGGAUCAGACACUGAUGUUUUCUGUUCCAAUGCAAGAUCCACAUUUCAUAAAGAACAGUGAUGCUCUCUGAACAGUCCCAGGUCACGUGAAGGGGCUUGGCCAGCAUGUGGCAGUAUUUUCAGUAGAUGACAGAGUGCUCAGCUGCAAGGGAAGCUUAGCGGAGACUCUAGAAAAGCGUUGCUCAGGGAAAGUGACGCAGGGGAAAAGUUAUUUGUGGCUGUCAAUUUCUCGCUUAGAUAUUACAAAGCUUCCCUGCCAAAGUCCUUUCUUUGAUUUAUGCUCAAACUGGAAGAUAUCAUAAGCAUCGAAAAAGCCAAACUGGAAAGCCGAACAGCUGAGCUCUGAAAAGAUAGGAACCUUGGCCAGGAGUAGAAUGUGGUGAUAGGUACAGCAAGUGGAAGGGAGCUGGGGGUGUCUGAAUUUGUGCAGUGAACACACAGAUUCCACCGACACCAGCUUCUGGAAAGGCACUAUCUGCUGUGAACCCUGAUAAUUACAAAAACAAAAAGAGGUUUUGUCUCUAAAGGUGGGAAAACAAAUGAGAUGACCCCUAGAGGGAGCUUCUAGCCUGAGGAGGUUUUUAAGAUAAGCAUUUAAAUUGAAACUAGGAUAGGAACUGGAGCUGCCCCUCCUGUACUUCCCCUCCCUCACUACCACUAUUUCUUCCUUGGACUUCUUCCCCGACCUCCCCAUCCCACCCCUGGGUCUCAUGAAUAAAGAAAUUCUAAACCACCUCUCUUUAACAAUAAUUCUGUUCAAAGCUUGGAACAAUGAAAAAAAAUUGCAAUGUCCAAAGUCAAAGGCAGCUUUUCCUGGGAGUGAUGGGCUGGCAGCAGGGCCAGAUUUCCUCUGCUUUUUUUUUUUUUCCUAAGAGUUAGCACAAAGUCUCCCACUGUGGACAUGUAAGAUGAAGAAAAAGAACCAGGACCAAGAUUUUCCUCCACUGCAGCUGGGAAUUUGAGAGAGCCCAUGCUUCCCCAGGUGACCCAUUCUUCAUAACUUGAUUACUCCUCCCCAAUCUAGAACCCCUCAGAUGGACAUGAUCUCUCCCUUUCUUCACUCAUACUUCCAUAUUCUCCCGUGUAUGAUUAUUUCAGUGUGUGUUAUCGUUUGCUAGAGUGUAAGCCAUUGGAAAGGUCCUAAAGGUUUAUAUAUGUCAUCACUAGCUCCUAACCUAGUAGAUGGUCGAUAAAUGUGUUAAGGGGGUGAACACAGGGGUUGUUUUAAAUGCUACCUCACUUUGUUUGAUACAAUUUAGGGACUUGAAUGGAAUCUGACCCUCGAGUCAACCUGACCCUUUUGCCACCUAUCAUAAGGACUAGUAAAGCCCAGGACCAAAGACUUCAGGUGCGUGAAGUGUGUCGAGUUACUUCUCCGAGAACCUGAGCAUCCAGACAGCAAUAGGAUGUGGGUACAUAAAAACAGCCCAUGACCUGCAGACUCUUAUAACCCACUCCCCAUUCUGUUUCUGUAGUAUAUUUCCCUUUCCUAACUGUGCCCGGCAAAGGCUGAUAUUAACACAAUUUGGGGGUUGCUGAGCAAACGACCACUUACAGGACCAGGCUAGGUGUGUGGGGAGGGAAAUGGCACAUAGUGCAGUUUAUAGAUACUGUCUCUUAUGUAAUCAAGUGUGGUUCUUUCAUAAAGCCUUCCUACAGAAGGUUAAGAAUCGUGGACUUUGGAAACAGAAUCCCACAAUUCAAGUCCUGACUCUACUGGGGGUAACUAUGUCACAAACUCUGCUUCCCUCUGAAAAUGAGGGAAAUAGCAUAACCUUCAGAGGCUUCUUAUGAAAUUUAAGUGAGCUAAAAUGUACAAAUGCUUAGAACAGUAUCUUGCACACAGUACAUACUAUGAAAUGUUGACGAUUAUUACUGAGCUUCUGAGGUUUGUUAUUGCCUCUGGACUCCACAAGACUUUUGAUAAUAUUAAAAUCAUCGUCAUUCAGAUAGAUAGCAUGUAAGGUACUGGUGCAGCUACCUACCCACUGUCAAAGCCUGGAAGAAAACUCGUAAUCAUCAGGAAAGUGUGGUGUGCCUGGACUAGGAAACUUGUCCUGGGUCUCCAAACUUCUGCAAAGCGUCCAUUAGGGGAAAUGACCUCCAGGAUGAGUCCCACGGCUCACACACACAAGCUCCCUCCUUUACCCUUCUUUCACCUUUCCCACAUAUGAAGGAAGGGCAGAUGGAGGAGACAAACCCUAAUCUCCUUUCUACCUGCUACCAGACUCUUCUCCUCUGGUAGAGGCUCUUGGGGAGAUAAGGUCUUACCUUUGUCUCUCUAUUCCUUUUAUACAGAACCCGAAAAGUUCUUUGAACUUUUGUGGCUCGGAUAAUAAACAAAAGUCUCCUUCCAAAAAACAUUUCUUCCUAAAUUACAAAAAAAAAAAAAAGUUUCCUGCCUUUCUUCCAAUCUAUUUUCCAACCUAUUGUAAGAUUCAAAAAGGUGAACUUUCUCCAGGCAAAACCCUUUAUAGCCUUGUGAAAACCGGGUUGUUCUCAAAGUCUUUAGUUAAAGGGCCUCUGGUGACACCUUAGCUUCUAGAAAGGCUGCCCAGGGAUUGCAACUAUCUUAAGCAUUGGAUUGAAAUGGUUUAGGGAUCCCCAUCAUGUUUCCUGAAAAUAGAAAGGAGUUAGCAGAAAGUAAGUCACAGAGACUCUAUAGAGCUUUAAAAUGAAUUGGGACUUCCCUGGCAGUCCUGUGGUUAAGAUUCCACGCUUCCGCUGCAGGGGGUGCGGUGAAUGGCAGGUAGUUUACAAAACAAGGAGUGUUCUUUUUUUAAAAAAAGAGUUCUGAGGUCAGUAGGCAGAUCUGGAUUAUCAGUGAACAGAUAUGAUCAUUACAAAACAAAUCAAAAUCCAACCUUCAUCCUUACUAGAAAUGAAUCCAUGGAUAGUGGAAGCGUGGCCAGGAAAAGCCAUCUGAGAGGAGUACCUGCAUUUAGUUCAAAACAGAAAAAGGAACUGUGCUUAGAAUUACUGAACCCAUGUCACAGGGCAUCUGGACUCUGAAUUAAAAGAGACAAUUGUAGGGUCCUAUGAUUCCACUUCUUAAACCACACUGAUAGGAGUAACCAGUGUCCUUGUCUAUCAGCAUCCAGAAAUCAUCAGUUUAUACCCAUCUUCUUGAAACCAAGCUAGGCGGAUACCAUGUCCAUGCUUGUCCUAUUUCUUUCUAGCCUAAAGGAAGUACAAAAUUGUUUUGAAUUAGAAUGUAGUUUGGGGAAAUAUCACAACCUAGCUUUCAUGCUCCAAAAGAGGUUAUGGUGCCAUAUUCUCCCAGCUCUCUCA